rnacentral:misc_RNA from 1 species
CCUGUUCGAGCGUCAUUUCAACCCUCAAGCUCCGCUUGGUAUUGGGCCGCGCCGGCGACGGCGGGCCCCAAAGUCAGUGGCGGUGCCCGAAGGCCCUGAGCGUAGUACUACUUCCGCUACAGGUGCCCGGCGGUGGCUUGCCAGCAACCCCAACUUCCAUGGUUGACCUCGGAUCAGGUAGGGAUACCCGCUGAACUUAA